rnacentral:rRNA from 1 species
UGGAACAAGGUUUCCGUAGGUGAACCUGCGGAAGGAUCAUUA